GAUGAACGCUAGCGGCAGGCUUAACACAUGCAAGUCGAGGGGCAGCGCGGGAGUAGCAAUACUUCUGGCGGCGACCGGCGCAAGGGUGCGUAACGCGUGAGCAACAUACCCACAACAGGGGGAUAAGCGAUGGAAACGUCGUCUAAUACCGCAUAAAACUUAGGGCGGCAUCGUCCGGAGUUGAAACUUACGAGGGUUGUGGAUUGGCUCGCGAGACAUUAGGUAGACGGCGGGGUAACGGCCCACCGUGCCGACGAUGUCUAGGGGUUCUGAGAGGAAGGUCCCCCACACUGGAACUGAGACACGGUCCAGACUCC
rnacentral:rRNA from 1 species